AAUAUUGGGGCAUAUAAAAAAAGACAACUCUGUUCCGCAGAGUAGCUGUUGACUUUAUAGUUGCGCAGGAACUUUGUUGACUCUAGAGAACCUCUGGCAAAUCGCACAUCCCCAUGGCGGCGACUUUGCAUGCGGAUGUCAUCCAUAUCAACUUUCGAUGCCAGUUUCUGCGCCUUCAGGUAAUGGGAAAUCAGGAUUCCAUUCUGUACAGGGACCCUGAGAAACGGAUACCACAUACAAGGAAGGCAGCAGGCGCGCAAAUGACCUACUCCCGACACGGGACGGUAGUU